AACGAACGCUAGCGGCGUGUUUAAGACAUGCAAGUCGCACGGUGUCAUUUUGGUAGCAAUACUUGAAUGGCAUAGUGGCGCACGGGUGAGUAACACGUGAAUUACAUGCCCUGUAGAGGGGGAUAGACCAGGGAAACUUGGAUUAAUACCCCAUGGUCUCGCAAGAGUAAAGGUGGCCGCAAGGCUGUCGCUACAGGAUUGGCCCGCGCCCUAUCAGCUUGUUGGCGGGGUAACGGCCCACCAAGGCUACGACGGGUACCUGGUCUGAGAGGACGAUCAGGCACACUGGAACUGAGACACGGUCCAGACACCUACGGGUGGCAGCAGUCGAGAAUAAUUCACAAUGGGGGCAACCCUGAUGGUGCAACGCCGCGUGGAGGAUGACGGUCUUCGGAUUGUAAACUCCUGUCAUCCGGGAGUAAGACCUGGGCAUGAAUAGUGCACAGGGUUGAUAGUACCGGAAGAGGAAGGGACGGCUAACUUCGUGCCAGCAGCCGCAGUAACAC
rnacentral:rRNA from 1 species